rnacentral:rRNA from 1 species
UACGUAGGGGGCAAGCGUUAUCCGGAUUUACUGGGCGUAAAGCGCGUGUAGGCGGCUGCGAAAGUCGGUUGUGAAAUCCCUCGGCUCAACCGAGGAACUGCGCCCAAAACUGUCGUGCUCGAGGGAGACAGAGGUGAGCGGAACUUAGGGUGGAGCGGUGAAAUGCGUUGAUAUCCUAAGGAACACCGGUGGCGAAAGCGGCUCACUGGGUCCCUUCUGACGCUGAGGCACGAAAGCUAGGGUAGCGAACGGG